rnacentral:rRNA from 1 species
AACGAACGCUGGCGGCAGGCUUAACACAUGCAAGUCGAACGGGCACCUUCGGGUGUCAGUGGCAGACGGGUGAGUAACGCGUGGGAACGUACCCUUCGGUUCGGAAUAACCCAGGGAAACUUGGGCUAACACCGGAUACGUCCGCAAGGAGAAAGAUUUAUCGCCGAAGGAUCGGCCCGCGUCGGAUUAGCUAGUUGGUGGGGUAAUGGCCCACCAAGGCGACGAUCCGUAGCUGGUCUGAGAGGAUGANCAGCCACACUGGGACUGAGACACGGCCCAGACUCCUACGGGAGGCAGCAGUGGGGAAUAUUGGACAAUGGGCGAAAGCCUGAUCCAGCCAUGCCGCGUGAGUGAAGAAGGCCUUAGGGUUGUAAAGCUCUUUCAGCGGGGAAGAUAAUGACGGUACCCGCAGAAGAAGUCCCGGCUAACUUCGUGCCAGCAGCCGCCGCCGU